rnacentral:tRNA from 2 species
GGGGCGGUAGCUCAGUUGGUUAGAGCACGGGACUCAUAAUCCCUCGGUCGUGGGUUCGAGCCCCACCCGCCCCACCA